AGUGAACGCUGGCGGCGUGCUUAACACAUGCAAGUCGAACGGAUGAAAUAAGCUUGCUUAUUUCGUUAGUGGCGCACGGGUGAGUAAUGUAUAGCUAACCUGCCCUUUAGUGGUGGACAACAGUUGGAAACGACUGCUAAUACCCCAUACUCCUUCUUAUCAUAAGGUAAGUUGGGAAAGAUUUAUUGCUAAAGGAUGGGGCCUUAUGGUAUCAGCUAGUUGGUGGGGUAACGGCCUACCAAGGCGAUGACGCCUACCUGGUCUGAGAGGAUGAUCAGGCACACUGGAACUGAGACACGGUCCAGACUCCUACGGGAGGCAGCAGUGGGGAAUAUUGCACAAUGGAGGAAACUCUGAUGCAGCAACGCCGCGUGGAGGAUGACGCAUUUCGGUGUGUAAACUCCUUUUAUAAGGGAAGAUAAUGACGGUACCUUAUGAAUAAGCACCGGCUAACUCCGUGCCAGCCGCCGCCGUAACAC
rnacentral:rRNA from 1 species